GGGUGGUAUCGACAUAUAAAUGAAUUAACUCUUAAAAAAAAGUAAUAGCCAAAACUUGAAAAUGAAUUAAUUUAAAAGCAUGCUCUAAAGGUAUUGUCAGUCGUUGAUCUGCCAACUGGAUUAAGCAAGCCAUUUGGUUCCAGCCAAAAACCAGCUCCCUCGUAGACCCUCCGAGUCACAUUCUAUUCUUGGGACAUAACUGCAGCAGGCAAGUCCAGCCAACAUACAUUCUUGUAGUCCACUGCUACAGCAAGCACAUCUAACAGACUCU
rnacentral:misc_RNA from 1 species